GGCUGGUCCAAGGGUAAUGAGUUAUCUCAAUUGAUUGUUCACUGUCCGUUACAGAUCCAACUCAUUCUACUCUUUCUCCCCUCCUCACUACUGCACUUGACUAGUCUUAA
rnacentral:Y_RNA from 1 species